UUCAGCUGUUGGCACUCAUUUUGGGAUUGCAGGUCUAAACUUGCUGAGGCAAAAUGAUGCCUGCAGGUAUUUUUCCAGAAGCAGCUGCUGUUAAUUGUUUGUGCCAUCAGCAUUUUUACAUUUUUUACAAACAUCAGUUUUAUUGUAAUAAAAUCUAAACAAGUGAGUAGAGCUAAACAGUUAAUGACUGAACACACAGUCUUCCAAAUCCAGUAUGACUCACAUUACAUCACACUCAGGUAAACCAAUACUACAAUUUUAUCAGGAAACAUUCCAUCAUGGAGGGAGGUGUCCUUAAUAACCCUCUGAACACAGUAAUGUAAACAACUGCACACCAUUCUUGGACCUUGCAACACAUCCAGAAUGACUAAUUCUGGAGUGUGUUCCAGAGUUCAUACACCCAGAUGGAUCACGCUGUGUUGACGGUUGGACUGACAGUUAUAAGACUACUGUGGCAAGAAGGGUGUGUAGAGAAAACUGAAGAAAUGACGAAAUGAUUGAGUCACAGAAAAACUUUGUCCUCGUGCCAGGACGGAAUUACAGCAGUGGUGUGAAUUGGCACUCCUUCAGGCAAAGAGUAAUAAUGAUCAAUCUGGAGGAGUUCCCUUAUCCUCUCUUUAUUAAGAUGACUGGUCCUCACAAGAACAGGUUGGACACGGACACACAGAGAAUGCCAGAUAGACUGUCGACGUGCUCCUGGAGACAAGUUUGCAAACUGAGUCAGCAGCUGUAUUUUUGAAUGACUCAACCAGUCCACCACAUAGCCCUUUCGUUUCUCAGAGCCCUGCCCUCAACUUUCCCUCAUACACAGGCACGUACUGCUUACGUUUACGUGAGGCCUUACCUCACCAAAUUAUCACUUCCUCCCACUUUACUAGGGUAUGUCUGCAAAUAGCCAAUAGUAAUAUAGAAAUAUUUUUCAGGGAGGUAAAUCAGCUGAGUGGUCAAUAUUAUUGGAAAGGUUAUGUAAAGAUUUAUUUUAUGUUUUAUUUUAUCUGUUGAUUCUGUUUCUUCUCACUGUGUCUUUCAUUUCACUUUUUUGCUUGAAGCUCUAUGUUUUCCAAUAAUAAUAUAGACUGAUGACAUGCUGUGGCGAGUGAUAUGGUGAAUUUUCUGCCAAGCUAAUAAUCCUGUGAUCCUGAGUCAUUUACUGUAUGAAUCAGACAUGUUGCCGGGAAGAGACUCCUACAUCUCCUUUGACUUUACUCAGACUCUGCCUAUUUUCAUACAGUAAUAGCUGCUGGAGGGCUGUUAUAAUACCACACUGCGUUUCUCUCCCUUACAAGACAGAGGCAUCUGUGAACAAGGAAGUGGAGGAGGAAAGCAAGGAGGGGAGCAGUAAACUGUAAAACAUGAUGCACUCUGUCGGUGACUCAACAGGAAAUAAUGGAGCGGGAUGCAGUUCCUGAGCUACCCAACAAUCAAAGGCAACACAAACAUCAUUUUUCUGCCCGUCCUCCUAUUACUCCCGGUGGCUGUUGGUUGUUUGAUAACUGAGCUGUCUCCUUAUGGGAUGAGGUCAAAGGCCGUGGUGCGAAGCCCACUCAGACAUUUGAGGAGCCUGAUUCCUUCCUGACGCCUCCAACUUGUCAGACCUAGCUGAAAAUCCAUUAAAUUAAAAAAGAUUAAACGAAGGGUGUGUUUUUCAAAUCACACAUUUGACUGCAGCGAUAACGUCUGAAUGAAUGGUACUGAUCCAUAACCUAAUCAUAACUUUUGUAAACCUCUUUAUGCUUUAUUUAUAAAACAAAUUAAUUAAAAAAAAAUGUAUAUACACCCUCUUUUUGGCAGUCUGCUUUGAAAUAUAAACGUCAAACAUGACUGUUCCAUGUUAGGCUGAAGGAAGUGGUGGGUGGUAACAAAUAGCAAUAAACUAGACCUGAGAAUUUCAUAAGAAUUUCUCUGUUUUUUCAUAAUUUUUGCAGCUUCAGACGUGAGUGACGAUGCCCCUUGUUUCAGCUCUGGUCCCCUAUUACAGUUUAUUAUGAGUUUACUCAUCGACUCAAAAACUCAUGAUUUAAUCGAUAGGAAUUUUAACUUCUUACACAUGUAGCAACUGUAGCUGAGGCCUCUUUUUUUUACAUAAUCAUCUAUUUUACUUCUAAUAAACGUAACUGUGAUAUAAGUCUUUUUAUUUGUUACAGCCUCUAACAUUGAUUUAUAGGAACGACAGCAUGACGAUUAAAAGGAAUGUGAAACUCAAACACAAGACAGGUUGACCGUGACUUUGAAAAUAGCAGCAGGCUUGUCUGUCAGCAGUCUGUAACAGGGCUCUAAUUACUAUUACAUGUUUGUACACAGCUGGUUCCUCUAUAAGAGAACUCCCUGUGUCACCAUGUCAGCACAUCAACCUACACAAAUGUAUUUACCAUAGGACAUGUAUGUUAAUACCUACUUACUUCAUUUCCUAUUCCAGCUCGAGACGUUGUUUAAUGAGUGGUGGGCAGACAUUUAUCUUC